rnacentral:rRNA from 1 species
CGCGUAGGCGGUCUCGUGCGUCGGAGGUGAAAUCCCCGGGCUUAACCCGGGAGCUGCCUCCGAUACGGCGAGACUUGAGUCCGGGAGAGGGGAGCAGAAUUCCCAGUGUAGCGGUGAAAUGCGUAGAUAUUGGGAGGAAUACCGGUGGCGAAGGCGGCUCCCUGGACCGGUACUGACGCUGAGGCGCGAAAGCGUGGGUAGCAAACAGGAUUAGAUACCCUGGUAGUCCACGCCGUAAACGAUGGGUGCUUGGUGUCGGGGGUAUCGACCCCUCCGGUGCCGAAGCUAACGCAUUAAGCACCCCGCCUGGGGAGUACGGUCGCAAGGCUGAA